rnacentral:rRNA from 1 species
CGAACGACAAAGAUGCAAUAGGCAAGAGAGACAGAAAUUAAACAAGGUCAAUCAAAAGUACAUUUGAUUGAUAGAAUACAAGACAGUAUAAAACUUUGUGAAUAAAAUUGAGUGCGGGAUAGUCGGCGGACGGGUGAGUAACGCGUGAAUAAUCUGCCCCAUACAGGGGGAUAGCCUCGGGAAACCGGGAUUAAAACCGCAUAACACUUUAUCACCGCAUGGUGAUGAAGUCAAAUCGAUUAAGAGGUAUGGGAUGAGUUCGCGUCUGAUUAGCUAGUUGGCGGGGUAAAGGCCCACCAAGGCGACGAUCAGUAGCCGGCCUGAGAGGGUGACCGGCCACACUGGAACUGAGACACGGUCCAGACUCCUACGGGAGGCAGCAGUGGGGAAUAUUGCACAAUGGGGGAAACCCUGAUGCAGCGACGCCGCGUGAGUGAAGAAGGUCUUCGGAUCGUAAAACUCUGUCCUUGGUGACGAAGGAAGUGACGGUAACCAAGGAGGAAGCCCCGGCUAACUACGUG